AUUCCUUGUUUCAGCAGAAUAUAUACUAAAAUUGAACCAAUGCAGAGAACAUUAACGUGGUCCUGGUGCAAGGAUGGCACAAAUUCAUAAAGCAUUUCUUUUGUAU
ensembl:snRNA U6 U6 spliceosomal RNA